rnacentral:hammerhead_ribozyme from 1 species
GCAUUGCUGAAGAGUCCCAUAAUAGGACGAAACGGCCGUCCAGUGC